GGCAGCGUAGCUCAGUCGGUUAGAGCAAUGGAAUCAUAAUCCAUGUGUCGGGGGUUCAAUUCCCUCCGCUGCUA
rnacentral:tRNA from 1 species